CUGAGCCAAAGGCAGAAGCUUAACGACUGAGCCACUCAGGCGUCCCUAUACUCUUUCCUAUAUAUACCUAUGAUGAAGUUUAACUUACAAAUUAGGCAUGGCAAGAGAUUAAUAAUAACAACUAAUAGUAAAAUACAACUGUAACAGUAUACUGUAAUAAAAGUUGCAUGAAUGUGGUCACAAAAUUUCUUAUACUGUAGCCAUCUUCCUUGUGAUAUGAGAUGGUAAAAUACCUAUGUGAUAUGAAGUAUGGUAAAUGAUGUAGGCAUUGUGAUGUAGUGUUAGGCUACUACUGACCUGAGGAUAGGUCAGAAAGGGGAUCAUCUGCUUCUGGAUCGUGGUUGGCACAGGUUACUAAAAUUGUGGAAAGUGAGUAGUGAAUAAGGGCAUGCUACCAUAGUAACUCUUUCUAACUCAAUGCUAAAUAACAUUCCAGAAUUUUUAAUUUGCUCCUGUUAUCUAUGCCAACAAAAAGAUACAUAAAAGAGGAAGUUGUAAGAAUUUAUAAGACUGAUAGUUAUCUCUGGGAAAUGGAGCUAGAUGAUUAGAGAAUGACACUAUAGGGUUUUUUCUUUUUGUACCAUGAGUUUAUAAUAAACACACUGGGUUCUUAUCCAAUCACUAUCAUCAAACCACUGUUACAGUUUUAAAUCCAUUAUGUCCCAGCUGACUACUCUCCAGGAUAAAAUCUAAAAACUUGAGUAUAUAAGGCCCUGCAUGAGCUGGUUCCUUCUUUAUUCAGCCUUAUCUCCUAACCAUCAUAUGAUUUAUCUUGAUACACACAGUUACUUUUUAAGUUUUGGAUACUUUGUGUUACAAUCUAUUGUUCUGCAAGGACUGAUGAAUUCCUUCUUACCAAGGUAAGGUUCAUUGGAAUGGAGGGGAUGAGAAAGUCAGGGACCAUUCAUUACUGAUCCCAUCAAACAAAGGGGUAGGAAGGAUGCACCCUUGUUUUGACAAGACAAUAGAAAACCCAAUCUAAAAGCCCACGAAAAAGAUCUCUACCAAGUUCUACCAAUCAGAGAUGUUUCUCUGGGAAAGCUGUUCAGUUAACUUAAAUUCAGUGUUUACAUGAAAAAAACAAAAAGUGGUUUAAUUCUGUGAUGGAACAUACAGGUGAAUGGGCCUGGGAAAGAGAGACGUAAUUAAGAACAAUAAGGAGAAUACUGGGCACAGAGGUAUCAGGAAGAAUUUUAUGUUGCUACUUUGCUAAGGAAAUAAAGCUAUUUUCAUAUAAGUCCUAAGUAAUGCCAAAAACAAAGAUGUUUAAGGGCAUUAUUAGCAUUUUAUGUAAAGAGAUAAAUUAUCAAAAUAACCACCUGAAAGAGCAUAAGUGCCUCUGAAGAGGGGAAUUGGGAGGGAGGGCUGGGAACCAUUGUUUUUUAAAACUUAUGGAAUGGCUUUUGAAACAACAUGCAUGUGCAGUUUUGAUAAAAACAAUUAGCAUAUGGAGAAACAGAGACAAUCAAGUCUGUUGGCCACUGUGGUUAAAGCAGAUGAAGCAGAUACCCAACCUAGAAUUAGUAGCAGGUGUCGGAAACCUCAUCAACAAAUGACAGAGGUUCAAUUAAAAAUUUCAAUGUUACUAGACCACCGGCACCUUGCUUUUACAGAUAAGGAAACCAAGGUACAAGGUUAUACAGUUCACUAAGGAUCAGAGCCAGUUACAGAAGCUGAGCCUGAAGUUUCUCAUCUUUUGAAUCUGGCUUGGCUUUGCGACUUGCUUUGACCAAAAGAAUGUGGCGGAAGUGACAGUGAGCCAACUACAGACAUAGUAAGUUUUAAGCCACUGAGUUUUAAGGUGGCGGUUACACAGAAUUUGCUGAUAGAGUUGUGUUUAUAUAAAAAUCAGGUUAAAAUAGGUCAUAAAAGAAUAAAAACAGAUUUGAGGUACAGUAUAAUUCAUGUAAUUAGAAAAGACACAAACUGGGCCAUUUAAAACAACUCCGAAGAGAACUCUUGUCUGACAUUGUUCCUGAACAUCCAAAGACUAAUGUCAGGUGAGCUCACUACUGACUCUUAGUGGGAAUACAAGUCUCCUAGGAAUAGAAUCUUCAGGUCCAAUUCAAGGACCUUAGGUAGAUGUGUCCAAAGGAGGGAUCACAUCCGCUGAGAAGAUGAGGGGAUUUGCUAGUUCCCAGUCCUUUAGGGAUCCUUCUGAGUGGACAGAGGAUGGAACAAAGGCUGAUUCUUGUUCAUUAGAAGGGGAUCCUCUUCAACCCUCAUCAGCAUUUUAUCUCAAUCUUUGAGAUUGGAAACAGGUUAUCAAGAACCUGCCACUUAAAAGAUUCAUUCUUUUGGACUGGGAAUGAGAAUUCAGACAACCCAGUCUUUCUCUAAAACAUUCUGUAAACACACAGCACAGAAAUGGAAUGCUAGAAAACCUCAAAUUAUAAAAAUGGAAUGAAACCAAGCUCCUAAACUAACCAAACAACAUACACAAAUAUUUGACUUCCAGUAUAGCAACACAUCUGGGCAGAAACCAGACUUGAUUUAAUUAUAACUCCAACUCAAGUGGCUGUAAA